UAAUGGCCAGUGGCUCUGCAAUCAUAUCAGCCAACUCCCUCAGCAUGAUUGGAUGCAUUAGAUCUGGACCCCCUGGAGUUGUGCACGUCCAGCUUUUCUAAAUAGUCCAUAACCUGUUCUUCCACCACUGAGGGCUGUUCACUUCCUCCCCGUACUGUGUUGUCCAAUGCAACAGUCUGGAAGCUGACCUUGUCUGUGAAGACCGAAGCAAAAAAAGCAUUGAGUACUUCAGCUUUUUCCACAUCAUCUGUCACUAAAUUGCCUCCCCCAUUCAGUAAGGGUCCCACACUUGGCCUGACCACCUUCUUGUUGCUAAUAUACCUGUAGAAACACUUCUUGUUUCCCUUCACAGCCCUUGCUAGCUGCAACUCCAGUUGUGCCUUGGCCUUCCUGAUUACACCCCUGCAUGCUCUAGCAAUAUUUUUAUACUCCUACCUAGUUAUCUGUCCAAAUUUCCACUUCUUGGAAGCUUCCUUUUUGAGUUUAAGCUCACUGGAGAUUUCACUGUUAGCAAAUACGGCAGGCGACCAGCUUAGCUUAUUCUUUCUGCACUUUGGGAUGGUUUGUUCGUCCGCCCUCCUUAAGGCUUCUUUAAAAUACAGCCAGCUCUCCUGGACUCCUUGUCCCUCAUAUUAGCUCCCCAGGGGAUCAUGCCCAUCAGUUCCCUAAGGGAGACUGAGUCUGCUUUUCUGAAGUCCAGGGUCCUUAUUUUGCUGCUCUCCUUUCUUCCUUUUGUGAGGAUCCUGAACUCAACCAUCUCAUGGUCACUGCUGCCUAGGUUGCCACCCACUUCUACUUCCCUUACCAGUUCUUCCCUGUUUGUGAGCAGCAGGUCAAGAGGUGCAUGGCACCAAGUCGAUUGCACUAGCACUUGUACCAGGAAGUUGUCCCCAACACUCUCUCCAAAAACUUCCUGGAUUGUCUGUGCAUUGCUGUGUUGCUCUUCCAGCAGAUGACAGUUCUUCUCUCUCAGGGCUUGUCUACAUUUACAGCAGUGCAGCAGCAGCAUAGCUGCAGCGCUUAGUGGAGAGACAACCUAUGCCAACAUAUGCUUCUCCUGUCUGCAUAGGUACUCCGCCUCCCUGAGAGGCACUAGCUAUGUUGAUGGGAGAAGCCCUCCUGUUGACUUAGCGCUGUCUAUGCUGCGGGUUAGGACUGUCUAACUAAAUCACCUAGAGUGAUGUUGUACUAACAUAAGUUUGUAGUGUAGACUAGGGCCAAGUCAAUAUUCAUGGCUCAAAAACUGAGGUAGUAUAGGAAAGUGAAAAUGACUAUUCUGUCUUCAUUGCUCAGGCUGACAAAGGUGCAUAGGCAGUGAAAAGUAUCCGACUCCCAUAACACUGGCAGUUUUUGCCUCUGCAGCACUUGUUCCCUCUUGUAGCGAUCUUGUGUUUUUUACCUCUCUUGCUCUGUCAUCCUCCUCUUAUUUUUCAAUUCUGUACGUGACCUAGACAAGCUUAAUUCUGCAGCCCAUGGCCUUCACAAGGGAAUGGAGCGAAAUGGUAUAAAGGAGGUGGUAUUUGUGUGAAAGAUCAAGUGGCGGGGAAAAAGUGAAAGCUGCAAGGGCAGAACUUCAAAGGGGCUUGACAGAAAAGGAAACCAGAUGGGAUGCUGAUGACCUGUAAAAGUCAGAGAUGGUGGGAUUAGUGGUACUGGUGAAUGGAAUGGAAAAAUAGACAGACAAGGAGAGGGAGGGGAAAGUAAAACUAUUAAAAGGGGAGAACAGAAAGCAGCUGGGAAAAGAGAGAAGCCACAAUCUUUGAACCCUUGGUUUGGUUAGAGCUAUUUGUGGUGUUAGCACCUGAGCUAAAGUGUCAAUGUCUGGGUUGGGGGCUAGAUCCAGCUUUUUGGAGAAUUGGAGAAUGAAUCCUUCAAGCUGCAUAAUCACUACAUUGUACAAAAAAAAAAAAAAAAAUUGUAGACUGCAUGGUUGCAAACCUAGCAUUUGACCUAGUUUGUAAUUGAUUCAGUGGCAUCUGGUGCAUCUUGUAGGGAGCAUGAAACAACUCCUGUGAACUCUUCUCCCAUCCCCCCCACCACUCUCCCAGUUCAUCAUUGGAAUUUUUAAAGCCUAAUAACACAACUAUUUCAUUCCUGAUCACUUUAACAAAUAUGAUGGGGAAGAGGGUGGGAGUGACUGACCUAUUUGGACCAACUUGGAAAUGAAUGAAAUAGCUGUAAACUGAAUAUGCUGUUGCAUAGUGAACUGUAAUGCUGCAGAAUAAAUACUUAGUACGUCUUCAAAGAGCCUUGCAAAUAUUUACCCAUCUCCUAGGAGCAGUGUAAAGAUUAAUAUCAGCCAUGUGUUAUCAAGACUGAGGUAGAAAGGCGGAGUUCAGAAUGAGGGUCAGAACACGAGUUCCUGUUUCAAAUCCUGUGCUCAGACCACUAGUCUGCUUUCCUCUGCUGCAGAGCAGCCAGCAUGAAUCUUGCCCAUAUGCUUAGGGU